GGGGGUGAUCGGUCUCGACUUUAGUCGUUACUUCAAGGGAAGCGGGCCGAGGAAGCCGUGAUGAUCUCGUAAACCACAAAAACAUGGCAAAAUAUAAGCGCAAGUAAAACUGCCGCUGAUUAUCAACUAGCUGCCUAAGCUAGCUCUGAUGUCCGUUACCCAGAGUUUGUUCUCGCCUCUGGAUCUAACGUCGCUAGGGAACUUACCUCUAAUCAUGUUGCGGGGAUUAAUAGGGAAAUAAAACUGUAACUGAGUUCGUAAACUACUUGUGCAUGUGAGAGUUUGAACUGAGAAAACGAUAAUUGCACUACGCCCGUAGAAGACUUGGAUGAUAGCUAGAGGACCCGGGUUCAAUUCCCGGCACCUCCACUU
rnacentral:tmRNA from 1 species